GCUGACACAAUCUCUACACAAGAUGCAGAGAUGCAGGUGUGGACACGUGAGUCUCACAGACGUGGAAUUCAAGGGUCAAGAUGGGCACUGCUCUGGGCUUCACAACCUGGGCUCCAUCCUUCUGGGACCUUGCGGAUGGAAUUCUGGUCGCCGUGGUCCAGUCAAGCAUGCACAGGACAGGGCCUCGUGGAACAUUUCCUUCCUCCUGUACAAAAGGGAAUGUUUAAAGUAUGAAAAGAAAUGACAACCAAACACAAAUUUGAAUAAGCUGCCCAAUACCACAAGCAUCCUCAAACCUGGAAAGAUGGCACAUCUACUCAGUAACUACCCUGCACACCUCUGUAGUACCUUCAUCUGCCUACUUUUGUUGGCUUCAUACUCUUUGAUCAUCUCUGCAUAUAACCGUCAUUUCAGAAUAUUUUCCAUUCAAAGGAUUAAAAAGAUAAGCUAUUGUUUCCUCUAACAGAGUUGAUCAAAAUUUAUGUUUUAUUCGUGAUAUUUGGGAUGUGUAAACCAUAUGACUUCAGACACAGACUCAUGUUUUCUAGUAUUGUACAGGAUUGCGCUUUUCAAACAGGAAAUCUGAAAAAGUCGUAUUUCGCCCAAUUGCCAUCCACACAGCAAAUACAUGG
rnacentral:lncRNA from 1 species